rnacentral:rRNA from 1 species
GGUGAGUAACACGUAGGGUAACGUACCCUGGAGUCCGGGAUAACCAGUCGAAAGACUGGCUAAUACCGGAUACGACCGCGAAGGCUCCGGCCUUUGUGGUGAAAGAUGGCCUCUGUUUACAAGCUAUCACUCCUGGAUCGGCCUGCGCACCAUUAGCUAGUUGGUGAGGUAAUGGCUCACCAAGGCUGAGAUGGUUAGCUGGUCUGAGAGGAUGGCCAGCCACACUGGGACUGAGACACGGCCCAGACUCCUACGGGAGGCAGCAGUGGGGGAAUAUUGCGCAAUGGGGGAAACCCUGACGCAGCGACGCCGCGUGGGUGAUGAAGGCCUUCGGGUCGUAAAGCCCUGUCGGGAGGGAAGAAACAGCUCGGGCCUAAUAUGUCCGGGCAUUGACGGUACCUCCUAAGGAAGCACCGGCUAACUCCGUGCCAGCAGCCGCGGUAA